GCCUAACACAUGCAAGUCGAACGGAUCCUUCGGGAUUAGUGGCGGACGGGUGAGUAACACGUGGGAACGUGCCCUUUGGUUCGGAACAACUCAGGGAAACUUGAGCUAAUACCGGAUGUGCCCUUCGGGGGAAAGAUUUAUCGCCAUUGGAGCGGCCCGCGUCGGAUUAGCUAGUUGGUGGGGUAAAGGCCCACCGAGGCGACGAUCCGUAGCUGGUCUGAGAGGAUGAUCAGCCACAUUGGGACUGAGACACGGCCCAAACUCCUACGGGAGGCAGCAGUGGGGAAUCUUGCGCAAUGGGCGAAAGCCUGACGCAGCCAUGCCGCGUGAAUGAUGAAGGUCUUAGGAUUGUAAAAUUCUUUCACCGGGGACGAUAAUGACGGUACCCGGAGAAGAAGCCCCGGCUAACUUCGUGCCAGCAGCCGCGGUAAUACGAAGGGGGCUAGCGUUGCUCGGAAUUACUGGGCGUAAAGGGAGCGUAGGCGGACUGUUUAGUCAGAGGUGAAAGCCCAGGGCUCAACCUUGGAAUUGCCUUUGAUACUGGCAAUCUUGAGUACGGAAGAGGUAUGUGGAACUCCGAGUGUAGAGGUGAAAUUCGUAGAUAUUCGGAAGAACACCAGUGGCGAAGGCGACAUACUGGUCCGUUACUGACGCUGAGGCUCGAAAGCGUGGGGAGCAAACAGGAUUAGAUACCCUGGUAGUCCACGCCGUAAACGAUGAGUGCUAGUUGUCGGCAUGCAUGCAUGUCGGUGACGCAGCUAACGCAUUAAGCACUCCGCCUGGGGAGUACGGUCGCAAGAUUAAAACUCAAAGGAAUUGACGGGGGCCCGCACAAGCGGU
rnacentral:rRNA from 1 species